rnacentral:rRNA from 1 species
GGCCCUACGGGGCGCAGCAGGCGCGAAAACUCUACAAUGCAGGCAACUGCGAUAGGGGAACAUCGAGUGAUCCUCAUAUUGGGGGUCUGUCCACCCGCCUAAAAAGCGGGUGUUAGCAAGGGCCGGGCAAGACCGGUGCCAGCCGCCGCGGUAAUACCGGCGGCUCGAGUGGUGGCCGAUAUUAUUGAGUCUAAAGGGUCCGUAGCCGGCUUUGCAAGUCUCUCGGGAAAUCCAGCGGCUUAACCGUUGGUCGUCCGGGGGGUACUACAUUGCUUGGGACUGGGAGAGGUAGGAGGUACUCAGGGGGUAGGAGUGAA